rnacentral:rRNA from 1 species
CAUAUGCUUCGUUCAAGGGCUCUUCCAUGCAUGUCUCAAAGCAAAUGGUUAAAAACAGUGGGUCUGUGAAUGGCUCCUUACAUCACCAGUCACCUGGGUGGUAAUUCCAACACAGUGGGACAUCCUCCAAAACCUGGUGGCUAAUACCCAAAUCAACUGGCCCACACAAAAGGAAGGGUGUACAAGUGUGCACUCUGUGUGUGGAGCUUGCUACCACCUUAAAUACAAACUGGCACCCACAACCUGACCCUAUCAAAGUUGUACAGGGUAAAUUGUUGUUGACCCAGGCUGGUGACACUAACAGCUUUGGCACUCUUAAAUGGUGUUCAAUUACACCACUUGCUUGACCACCCGGGCUUCUGACCUAUCACCUAAACUGUGGUGCAAUGAACCAC